CGAGGAGCCGGGAGUCGGGGGAAUAGAGGAUCGGGUUGGGUCUGGGGAAUGGCCCUCAGUGACCCCAGCCCCAAGCAGCGGGGUGAAACACCUUGGGCCUUUCUUCAUUGCAGACUUUAUUCUGACGUUCUGGACCGAUGGUGAAGACAGGCCAUCCUGGACAAACAAGGGCCAGCGUCCAGUUGAAAAGAAGAACCGCCUAAUGCUGCAGCCGCUCGCCGGCUAAUGCCGUAAUUGAUGGACGCUGCCAGUCUCUGAGACGGAUGGAAAUUAAUCCUUAAAUUAACACCGAUCGAGGGCGGAAUCGUGUCUGCGUUUCCCACCCCGACGCCCGCGGACUCCGGACGCCUGGGAGCCAACCGUGGAGUCAAAUACGUGGAAUGGCCGGGUGGGCAUCCUAGGGUGGGCCUAGGAGGAACCGUGGGGCACUAAAGAGCCCAAGAGAGCAUUUGAGACUUCUCCGGGUGCAGGUCUGACUGGCUGGGGCGUUAAAAUGGACCCAGCCCACGUGCUGGACUCGAUCCCUGUGGGAAAGUCAUGGCUGUUUCCUGGAGAACUAAGCCCACACCUUAGCAAGCAGGUGGAGGUGUGUCCUUUCC
rnacentral:lncRNA from 1 species